AACGAACGCUGGCGGCAGGCUUAACACAUGCAAGUCGAGCGCCCCGCAAGGGGAGCGGCAGACGGGUGAGUAACGCGUGGGAACCUACCUGAAGGUACGGAACAACUCCGGGAAACUGGAGCUAAUACCGUAUGUGCCCGCAAGGGGAAAGAUUUAUCGCCUUCAGAUGGGCCCGCGUCAGAUUAGCUAGUUGGUGAGGUAACGGCUCACCAAGGCGACGAUCUGUAGCUGGUCUGAGAGGAUGAUCAGCCACACUGGGACUGAGACACGGCCCAGACUCCUACGGGAGGCAGCAGUGGGGAAUAUUGGACAAUGGGCGCAAGCCUGAUCCAGCCAUGCCGCGUGAGUGAUGACGGCCUUAGGGUUGUAAAGCUCUUUCGGCGGGGACGAUAAUGACGGUACCCGCAGAAGAAGCCCCGGCUAACUUCGUGCCAGCCGCCGCAGUAACAC
rnacentral:rRNA from 1 species